ensembl:lncRNA
AAAAUAAACUUCACGCAGUCGCUCUCCUUUCAUUUUCUCACUGCCCCCCAAGCCACAUUAAAUCCAUAAUCCGUCUCUUGAAAACAGUCAAUUAAUGUCUUUCUCUCCCUAAAAGCAGUUUUCCCCGUCUCUCCCUCUCGUAACCCCGGCAGCAGGAAAAAAAAUCACUGCCAUCUCGCUCUCUCUCGGUCGGGCUUCUUAACUCUCCUAAAUCCUUCCUCCUCCUGGAGUAGUUUUAUAUUAACCAGAGGAGUGAUUCCCCUGCCUCAGUGUGUGUGUUUAUUUAAGGCAACGACUACUGGACCCAGGGCGCACACACACACACACACACACACACACACACACGCAAAGACACACACACGUCUGAGCAGAGUGCACCUCCACCAUCAUGACUUCGAUAAACACGCCUGUCAAUCAGGCGGGUCCUAAUGGGGAGUUUUGCAGAUUUUGUGGCGGUUUGCCCCGAGGCUUCUUGGACGAGCGUAAGACUUACUAAUUGUUUUAAGCAGACAAAAAACGCCACACUUCCUGCAGCCUCUUUCAGUGCGAGUGUUUUUAUUCGGCCGGUCGUCUACGUCGCGGUGGAGGUUUAAUGUCUGUGUGAAGGACAAACACUUUGGAGGUGGAUUAUCCGCAGUGAUUCACCCCGUUUGGGGAGCUUUUGUGGUUCAUACUGGGCUUCACGUCUCUUCCUUCUCUCGCUGACCGAGCACGCACGCCUUCCGUUUCUCUCUGGGCCUCCUACACCCCUCCAUCUGCUGCUUCUCCUAACCGGGCACCACCUCUGCAGCACCGUGCAGGUCCAAGAGUCCCCGUUGUCAGGUGCCCAGGGCAUUCAUUCAUUAUAGACCCUCAUCCAUUAUGUAUGAUACUGUGUGUCGCGGUAAAACAGCAGGCCGAUCGACCAUGACGAAGGCAAUCAUUGCCAGGACAAACUAGAGGAGUGCAAUCAGGGGAGCGCACACCUCCGCCAGGUGCACAAAGGAGGGUUGACUGCCACUGACCUUACAGUCAGAGACGACAACAAGGGGGAUUUAUUCAUCUCCUAUCAGGCUAAACUUUAGCAUGUUGUGUAGUGGGACCAAGCUUCAUCAUGCAUUCAGCAUUUUGAGGUCUGCUUUUUGAGCAGAGAAGUGAGGAGUCACCAGUCCAUGGCAGGAUAAAACACCGUCAAUACCUUCGGAACGUGUGAAUCACUGUCACCACAAUAGAUCAUACACAAGCGCAACAAAUAUCAGGCUGACGGGUCCAGUGGUCUGUGAAGGAGACGCGUCACCUCCCUACAGGCUUCGCACAUCCACAAUUAAGACUUGUUUUUCCUUUUCACACCUAAAUAGGACCGGUGACAUUACUUUGUUAACGAAAUGCAUUUAUUUGGAUCGGCAUUCUGAAAAUAGAUCAAAUCAUAUUGGAUGUGUCCUAUUAAUAUUUCUCACCUCCGGAGUGAGCCUAGGAUGUCACUGAACCGAGAAAAGGAAAGAGGGAAAAGAGGGAGAGGCUGAAGCAUGCCUCGCUAACUCACAACAGCUGAGGCAAUACAGAACCUGUGAGUGGAGAGGCGAAGAUGUUAAAUAUAUACACACACAUACAAAGUCAGAGCAAUUAAUCACUUUCUCCAUCAGUCACUGACACAGAUAGAAAGGUGAGUGUGUGUGUGUGUGUGUGUGUGUGUGUUACAGGAAAGUCCGGCCGGACAAAUCCGUUUAUACGAUUAGAGAGAUGAUGUUCGGGUGAUCCGAUCAGCCCCUCAGACACUAAACGAACACACGCAGGGAGAAAAGCAGUAAGGCCUGUGCACUUCUAUGCACAGGGAUCAAUGCAGCACACACUCACAGCGAGAGGGGAAGCAGUGCAGGAACUAUCCCGGGCGCCAGCACGCAGCGCUGCGCUUGCAGUUGAGUUGGGUGAGCAGGCGGGUCGCGGCAGGGUUACUGGGUCGUGACCCACUGAACCCUCCAGGCCACAAGCCGCCGACUCAGGGUCCACCUGGACCGCAUCCCCUACGGCCCAUCAACAGCGGGAGACUAUUUGGACGGAACUAACUCCCACUGGGUUUAUUUUGGUUUUACGCCCGUCCUACUGGUCAGUGUCCUCGUGUGCUUCGGAGAGAAUCGACACACAUCUGAACAGCAACUACGUUGAUGUGAUAAGCGACAGAGUAGUGUUUCUAAACAAGCUAAACUUGUCGUCCCAACUGUUAAUUAUAAAGAUUGAUAUGCAAACACCGCCGCACCGCAUGGACACACACACUCACACACUCGACCGGCUCCCGUCUUUAAAGAGCUGCUGACACAGUCUGUGCGGGAGAGGACGGCGAGUCACGGGCUCACAGGGGACGGAUGUUGAGGUGGAGCCUAAAGGAGGAGGGGA